UACGAAGGUCCCAAGCGUUGUUCGGAAUCACUGGGCGUAAAGGGCGCGUAGGCGGCGUGGUAAGUCAGAUGUGAAAUCCCGGGGCUCAACCCCGGAACUGCAUCCGAUACUGCCAUGCUUGAGGGUUGGAGAGGUAGCUGGAAUUAUCGGUGUAGCAGUGAAAUGCGUGGAUAUCGAUAGGAACACUCGUGGCGAAGGCGAGCUACUGGACAGCAUCUGACGCUGAGGCUCGAAGGCUAGGGGAGCAAAAGGG
rnacentral:rRNA from 1 species